rnacentral:rRNA from 1 species
GACGAACGCCGGCGGCGUGCUUAACACAUGCAAGUCGAACGGAAAGGCCCUGCUUUUGUGGGGUGCUCGAGUGGCGAACGGGUGAGUAACACGUGAGUAACCUGCCCUUGACUUUGGGAUAACUUCAGGAAACUGGGGCUAAUACCGGAUAGGAGCUCCUGCUGCAUGGUGGGGGUUGGAAAGUUUCGGCGGUUGGGGAUGGACUCGCGGCUUAUCAGCUUGUUGGUAGGGUAGUGGCUUACCAAGGCUUUGACGGGUAGCCGGCCUGAGAGGGUGACCGGCCACAUUGGGACUGAGAUACGGCCCAGACUCCUACGGGAGGCAGCAGUGGGGAAUAUUGCACAAUGGGCGGAAGCCUGAUGCAGCAACGCCGCGUGCGGGAUGACGGCCUUCGGGUUGUAAACCGCUUUCGCCUGUGACGAAGCGUGAGUGACGGUAAUGGGUAAAGAAGCACCGGCUAACUACGUG